rnacentral:ncRNA from 1 species
ACCGGACAGCAACACGGGAAACCUCACCUGGACUGGACACGGAAAGGAUUGACAGAUUGAUAACUCUUUCUCGAUUCUGUGGGUGGUGGUGCAUGGCCCUUCUUAGUUGAUGGAGCGAUUUAUCUGGUUAAUUCUGAUAACGAACGAGACUCUCCCAGGGACUCUGUCUGGAGAAAAGUCUCUCUGGAACUCACUCUCUGAGGAGGGGGAGCUUGCCAAAGCUGAACUGGUGGGUCUCUGAACACUAGAGUCUUGCUUGGACAAAUCUUGUGGUGAGUUGAUAAAAGACUGACUGAUCUCUCUCUUAAGGCUGGCCUAAGAUGGUCUAGCCC